rnacentral:tRNA from 1 species
CGGGGCGUGGCGCAGUUUGGUAGCGCGCGUGCUUUGGGAGCAUGAGGCCGCAGGUUCAAGUCCUGUCGCCCCGACCA